rnacentral:lncRNA from 1 species
AAAUGUGAGAAAAAGGAAUAAAGGGGAUGUCUGGAUUCGGACUCCCAACCUUGGGGUUACAGACCAAACGCCUUACCACUGAUCCAAGUGUGAUUGGCUGAUAAUGAAACGUGCACAUGAAUAUAUAAAAUAAAAUGCAAAUAAAAAAUGAAUGGACCAAAAACAAAGGGGUGUAGCCAUCAUGUGUGGUGAAAUGGAAAA